AGGGUUUGAUCAUGGCUCAGGACGAACGCUGGCGGUGCGCCUUAUGCAUGCAAGUCGAGCGAAGCUUUUCAGUAGUUUACUACAGAAAAUGACUGAGCGGCGAACGGGUGAGUAACGCGUGAGCAACCUACCUUAGUUACUGGGAUAGCCCGAGGAAACUCGGAUUAAUACCGGAUAUUCUUAUUUAAUCACAUGAUUUUUUAAGGAAAGGUCAGCCGAACUAAGAUGGGCUCGCGUUCUAUCAGCUAGUUGGUAGGGUAAUGGCCUACCAAGGCUACGACGGAUAGCUGGUCUGAGAGGACGAUCAGCCACACUGGGACUGAGACACGGCCCAGACUCCUACGGGAGGCUGCAGCAGGGAAUAUUGCGCAAUGAGCGAAAGCUUGACGCAGCGACACCGCGUGUGGGAUGACGGAUCUAGGUUUGUAAACCACUUUCAGGAGGGAAGAAAAUGACGGUACCUCCACAAGAAGCCCCGGCCAACUACGUGCCAGCAGCCGCGGUAAUACGUAGGGGGCGAGCGUUGUCCGGAUUUAUUGGGCGUAAAGAGCUCGUAGGCGGUUCAACAAGUCGGUCGUGAAAGUUCAGGGCUCAACCCUGAAAUGUCGAUCGAUACUGUUGUGACUAGGAUACGGUAGAGGUGAGUGGAAUUCCGAGUGUAGCGGUGAAAUGCGUAGAUAUUCGGAGGAACACCAAUUGCGAAGGCA
rnacentral:rRNA from 1 species